AGAGUUUGAUCAUGGCUCAGAACGUACGCUGGCGGCACGCCUAACACAUGCAAGUCGAACGAAGUAGCAAUACUUAGUGGCAAACGGGUGAGUAAUAUGUGGGAAUCUGCCUUUCGGUUCGGAAUAACACGAGGAAACUUGUGCUAAUACCGGAUAAGCCCUUACGGGGAAAGCUUUAUGCACCGAUGGAUGAGCCCACAUUUGAUUAGUUAGUUGGUGAGGUAAUGGCUCACCAAGACAAUGAUCAAUAGCUGAUUUGAGAGGAUGAUCAGCCACAUUGGGACUGAGACACGGCCCAAACUCCUACGGGAGGCAGCAGUGGGGAAUCUUGCACAAUGGGGGAAACCCUGAUGCAGCGAUGCCGCGUGAGUGAAGAAGGCCUUUGGGUUGUAAAGCUCUUUCGUCGGGGAAGAAAAUGACUGUACCCGAAUAAGAAGGUCCGGCUAACUUCGUGCCAGCAGCCGCGGUAAUACGAAGGGACCUAGCGUAGUUCGGAAUUACUGGGCUUAAAGAGCACGUAGGUGGUUAGAAAAGUUGGUGGUGAAAUCCCAAGGCUUAACCUUGGAACUGCCACCAAAACUUUUUAACUAGAGUAUGAUAGAGGAAAGUGGAAUUUCUAGUGUAGAGGUGAAAUUCGUAGAUAUUAGAAAGAAUACCAAUUGCGAAGGCAGCUUUCUGGGUCAUUACUGACACUGAGGUGCGAAAGCAUGGGUAGCGAAGAGGAUUAGAUACCCUCGUAGUCCAUGCCGUAAACGAUGUGUGCUAGACGUUGGAAAUUUAUUUUCAGUGUCGCAGCAAAAGCGUUAAGCACACCGCCUGGGGAGUACGACCGCAAGGUUAAAACUCAAAUGAAUUGACGGGGACCCGCACAAGUAGUGGAGCAUGUGGUUUAAUUCGAAGAUACGCGCAGAACCUUACCAACACUUGACAUGUUCGUCGCGACUUUAAGAAAUUAAAGUUUUCGGUUCGGCCGGACGAAACACAGGUGCUGCAUGGCUGUCGUCAGCUCGUGUCGUGAGAUGUUGGGUUAAGUCCCGCAACGAGCGCAACCCUUACUUUUAGUUGCCACCAUUUAGUUGGGCACUCUGAAAGAACUGCCAGUGAUAAGCUGGAGGAAGGUGGGGAUGACGUCAAGUCCUCAUGGCCCUUACGUGUUGGGCUACACACGUGCUACAAUGGCAUUUACAAUAGGAAGCAAGACGGCGACGUCAAGCAAAUCCUAAAAAAAUGCCUCAGUUCGGAUUGUACUCUGCAACUCGAGUACAUGAAGCUGGAAUUACUAGUAAUCGCGGAUCAGCGCGCCGCGGUGAAUACGUUCCCGGGUCUUGUACACACCGCCCGUCACACCAUGGGAGUUGGUUCUACCUUAAGGCAAAGUUUAAAACCUUUGACCACGGUAUAGUCAGCGACUGGGGUGAAGUCGUAACAAGGU
rnacentral:rRNA from 1 species